CCCACACUGCCUUCGCUUCUGAGGGCUCCCUGGCCUGGGAGAGUUUGAGCAGAAGUGUAAGUUUGGGUCUACAGAGCUCUCGAUGUCCUGACCCUUCACUCCUGUAGGAUUUGGGCUAGCCCCUUCUGAAGGAACAGGGACCCCUUUAGUGGGCACAGGCUGUGGUCAUAUUUCUUUUCUCUUUUUCUUUUCUAAUGUUUUUGAGGUAGCCUAGGCUGACCUCUGAGGAUAGCCCAAGUGCUGACACUUCAGGUGUGUGACACCAUGCCUGGCUACCGUCACAUUUUGUCACAUGCCUUUUGCCUGUACUUACUGACUGGAGAGCUGUUUAUUCAUGCUUUGCCCAUGUCAAAACUGGAUAACUGAUUCUUCUCUUUCACCUACAAGUUAGACCAGGAUGGGCAUUUUCAUGAGCCUAUUGCCUAGGGAGGUUUGUAAAUGAUAGACACAGGCAAGGCGGGGCCAGAGGAGGCUGAGGUGAAAAUCCAAGGAAAAAUCCAAGAGUCAGUCAGAUGGCAAAGAACUGAAGAAAUACUGGACCAUUGGAGGGUUCCCAGUGGGAAAGUGCGAACUUCAGGACGGGCCGUGUGGAGACUUCUGGGGCUGAGACGUGACUAACACAUUUCCAUGCUGAAGGAUGUGGUGGACUGGCAAGGGACUAGAAUAAGAGAUGACAUGCUGUGGAGGGUGCUGCUUACCGUCUUGCUCAGCAUGGCUUGCUCAGUCUGCUUCCUUAUAGAACCCAGGACCACCAGCCCAGGGAUCCUGUUUUCCAAUGGAUUGUGUCAAGGUGAC
rnacentral:lncRNA from 1 species